AGCGAACGCUGGCGGCAGGCCUAACACAUGCAAGUCGAACGAACCUUUCGGGGUUAGUGGCGGACGGGUGAGUAACACGUGGGAACGUGCCUUUAGGUUCGGAAUAACUCAGGGAAACUUGUGCUAAUACCGAAUGUGCCCUUCGGGGGAAAGAUUAAUCGCCUUUAGAGCGGCCCGCGUCUGAUUAGCUAGUUAGUUGAGGUAAUGGCUCACCAAGGCGACGAUCAGUAGCUGGUCUGAGAGGAUGAUCAGCCACAUUGGGACUGAGACACGGCCCAAACUCCUACGGGAGGCAGCAGUGGGGAAUCUUGCGCAAUGGGCGAAAGCCUGACGCAGCCAUGCCGCGUGAAUGAUGAAGGUCUUAGGAUUGUAAAAUUCUUUCACCGGGGACGAUAAUGACGGUACCCGGAGAAGAAGCCCCGGCUAACUUCGUG
rnacentral:rRNA from 1 species